GCUCCCUUGGUGUAACUGGACAACACGCGGGCCUUUCGAGCCCGAACGCCGGGUUCGAUUCCCGGAGGGAGUA
rnacentral:tRNA from 1 species